GCUCAGAUUGAACGCUGGCGGCAGGCCUAACACAUGCAAGUCGAGCGGUAGCACAGAGAGCUUGCUCUCGGGUGACGAGCGGCGGACGGGUGAGUAAUGUCUGGGAAACUGCCUGAUGGAGGGGGAUAACUACUGGAAACGGUAGCUAAUACCGCAUAAUGUCGCAAGACCAAAGUGGGGGACCUUCGGGCCUCAUGCCAUCAGAUGUGCCCAGAUGGGAUUAGCUAGUAGGUGGGGUAACGGCUCACCUAGGCGACGAUCCCUAGCUGGUCUGAGAGGAUGACCAGCCACACUGGAACUGAGACACGGUCCAGACUCCUACGGGAGGCAGCAGUGGGGAAUAUUGCACAAUGGGCGCAAGCCUGAUGCAGCCAUGCCGCGUGUGUGAAGAAGGCCUUCGGGUUGUAAAGCACUUUCAGCGGGGAGGAAGGCGGUGAGGUUAAUAACCUCACCGAUUGACGUUACCCGCAGAAGAAGCACCGGCUAACUCCGUGCCAGCAGCCGCGGUAAUACGGAGGGUGCAAGCGUUAAUCGGAAUUACUGGGCGUAAAGCGCACGCAGGCGGUCUGUCAAGUCGGAUGUGAAAUCCCCGGGCUCAACCUGGGAACUGCAUUCGAAACUGGCAGGCUAGAGUCUUGUAGAGGGGGGUAGAAUUCCAGGUGUAGCGGUGAAAUGCGUAGAGAUCUGGAGGAAUACCGGUGGCGAAGGCGGCCCCCUGGACAAAGACUGACGCUCAGGUGCGAAAGCGUGGGGAGCAAACAGGAUUAGAUACCCUGGUAGUCCACGCCGUAAACGAUGUCGAUGUGGAGGUUGUGCCCUUGAGGCGUGGCUUCCGGAGCUAACGCGUUAAAUCGACCGCCUGGGGAGUACGGCCGCAAGGUUAAAACUCAAAUGAAUUGACGGGGGCCCGCACAAGCGGUGGAGCAUGUGGUUUAAUUCGAUGCAACGCGAAGAACCUUACCUGGUCUUGACAUCCACAGAACUUUCCAGAGAUGGAUUGGUGCCUUCGGGAACUGUGAGACAGGUGCUGCAUGGCUGUCGUCAGCUCGUGUUGUGAAAUGUUGGGUUAAGUCCCGCAACGAGCGCAACCCUUAUCCUUUGUUGCCAGCGGUCCGGCCGGGAACUCAAAGGAGACUGCCAGUGAUAAACUGGAGGAAGGUGGGGAUGACGUCAAGUCAUCAUGGCCCUUACGACCAGGGCUACACACGUGCUACAAUGGCAUAUACAAAGAGAAGCGACCUCGCGAGAGCAAGCGGACCUCAUAAAGUAUGUCGUAGUCCGGAUUGGAGUCUGCAACUCGACUCCAUGAAGUCGGAAUCGCUAGUAAUCGUAGAUCAGAAUGCUACGGUGAAUACGUUCCCGGGCCUUGUACACACCGCCCGUCACACCAUGGGAGUGGGUUGCAAAAGAAGUAGGUAGCUUAACCUUCGGGAGGGCGCUUACCACUUUGUGAUUCAUGACUGGGGUGAAGUCGUAACAAGGU
rnacentral:rRNA from 1 species